rnacentral:rRNA from 1 species
GAUGAACGCUAGCUACAGGCUUAACACAUGCAAGUCGAGGGGCAGCAUCGCGAUAGCUUGCUAUUGCGGAUGGCGACCGGCGCACGGGUGAGUAACGCGUAUCCAACCUUCCCGCAACUGGGGGAUAACCUUGCGAAAGUAAGACUAAUACCCCAUGGUCUCCACGGAUGGCAUCUGAAAUGGAGUAAAGGUUUCGGCCGGUUGCGGAUGGGGAUGCCGUCCGAUUAGCUUGACGGCGGGGUAACGGCCCACCGUGGCAUCGAUCGGUAGGGGUUCUGAGAGGAACGGUCCCCCACAUUGGAACUGAGACACGGUCCAAACUCCUACGGGAGCAGCAGUGAGGAAUAUUGGUCAAUGGGCGGAAGCCUGAACCAGCCAAGUAGCGUGAAGGACGACUGCCCUA